UACGUAGGGUGCGAGCGUUAAUCGGAAUUACUGGGCGUAAAGCGUGCGCAGGCGGCGCGUUAAGACAGGUGUGAAAGCCCCGAGCUUAACUUGGGAAUUGCGCUUGUGACUGGCGAGUUGGAGUGUGGCAGAGGGGGAUGGAAUUCCGCGUGUAGCAGUGAAAUGCGUAGAUAUGCGGAGGAACACCGAUGGCGAAGGCAAUCCCCUGGGCCUGCACUGACGCUCAUGCACGAAAGCGUGGGGAGCAAACGGG
rnacentral:rRNA from 1 species